AUUUACACAAGUAAAAACAUGAGAAACUGCUCAGAACAAUACAGAGAAUUAGUAUAGCCCCUGCACAAGGGUGACACAAAAAUCUGUGAAGCAUUCCAUAUUUCU